GAGAGCCAUAUACAUGGGAACAUGUACGUAUGGUUCGGGGGCAGACAUGGGGAAACCAGCCAUAGGAAUAUGGUAUGGCGCCCUGUGUCGAGCCUAC
rnacentral:ncRNA from 1 species